rnacentral:rRNA from 1 species
GUGAACGCUGGCGGUAGGCCUAACACAUGCCAGUCGAACGGCAGCACAGUAAGAGCUUGCUCUUACGGGUGGCGAGUGGCGGACGGGUGAGGAAUACAGCGGAAUCUACUUUUUCGUGGGGGAUAACGUAGGGAAACUUACGCUAAUACCGCAUACGACCUACGGGUGAAAGCAGGGGAUCUUCGGACCUUGCGCGAUUGCAUGAGCCGAUGUCGGAUUAGCUAGUUGGCGGGGUAAAGGCCCACCAAGGCGACGAUCCGUAGCUGGUCUGAGAGGAUGAUCAGCCACACUGGAACUGAGACACGGUCCAGACUCCUACGGGAGGCAGCAGUGGGGAAUAUUGGACAAUGGGCGCAAGCCUGAUCCAGCCAUACCGCGUGGGUGAAGAAGGCCUUCGGGUUGUAAAGCCCUUUUGUUGGGAAAGAAAAGCAGCAGGUUAAUACCCCGCUGUUCUGACGGUACCCAAAGAAUAAGCACCGGCUAACUUCGUG